rnacentral:rRNA from 1 species
AGAGUUUGAUCAUGGCUCAGAAUCAACGCUGGCGGCGUGCCUAACACAUGCAAGUCGAACGCGAAAGGGGCUUCGGCCCUGAGUAGAGUGGCGAACGGGUGAGUAACACGUGGGUGACCUACCUUCAAGUGGGGGAUAACGUCCCGAAAGGGACGCUAAUACCGCAUAACAUUCUUCGUUUGAACACGAGGAAAUCAAAGCCGGGGAUCGCAAGACCUGGCGCUGGAAGAGGGGCCCGCGUCCGAUUAGCUAGUUGGUGAGGUAAUGGCUCACCAAGGCAACGAUCGGUAGCCGGCCUGAGAGGGCGGACGGCCACACUGGGACUGAGACACGGCCCAGACUCCUACGGGAGGCAGCAGUGGGGAAUUGUUCGCAAUGGGCGCAAGCCUGACGACGCAACGCCGCGUGGAGGAUGAAGGUCUUCGGAUUGUAAACUCCUGUUGCCCGGGACGAAUUGCUCCGACCUAACACGUCGGAGUUUGACGGUACCGGGCGAGGAAGCCCCGGCUAACUCUGUGCCAGCAGCCGCGGUAAUACAGAGGGGGCAAGCGUUGUUCGGAAUUACUGGGCGUAAAGGGCGCGUAGGCGGCCUUCUAAGUCGGACGUGAAAUCCCCGGGCUCAACCCGGGAACUGCGUCCGAUACUGGGAGGCUUGAAUCCGGGAGAGGGAUGUGGAAUUCCAGGUGUAGCGGUGAAAUGCGUAGAUAUCUGGAGGAACACCGGUGGCGAAGGCGGCAUCCUGGACCGGUAUUGACGCUGANGCGCGAAAGCCAGGGAGCAAACGGGAUUAGAUACCCCGGUAGUCCUGGCCCUAAACGAUGAAUGCUUGGUGUGGCGGGUAUCGAUCCCUGCCGUGCCGAAGCUAACGCAUUAAGCAUUCCGCCU